GUUUGAUCCUGGCUCAGGACGAACGCUGGCGGCAUGCCUAACACAUGCAAGUCGAACGAGAAAGUUCCUUCGGGAGCAAUUAAAGUGGCGCACGGGUGAGUAACGCGUAGACAAUCUGCCCUUCAGUCUGGGACAACUUUUCGAAAGGAGAGCUAAUACCGGAUGACAAUGUAACACAUAAGUGUCACAUUUGAAAGCUCCGGCGCUGAAGGAGGGGUCUGCGUCCCAUUAGCUAGUUGGUAGGGUAAAGGCUUACCAAGGCAACGAUGGGUAGCGGGUUUGAGAGGACGAUCCGCCACACUGGAACUGAGACACGGUCCAGACUCCUACGGGAGGCAGCAGUGGGGAAUAUUGCACAAUGGAGGCAACUCUGAUGCAGCAACGCCGCGUGACCGAUGAAGCUUCUAGGAGCGUAAAGGUCUGUCGUAAGGGAAGAAAAGUUUGGAUGUUAAUAAUGUUUGAACCUGACGGUACCUUACAAGAAAGCACCGGCUAACUUAGUGCCAGCAGCCGCGGUAAUACUAGGGGUGCGAGCGUUGUCCGGAAUCACUGGGCGUAAAGGGUCCGUAGGCGUCUCAAUAAGUCACUUGUUAAAGACACCGGCUUAACCGGUGGCCUGCAUCUGAAACUGUCAGGAUAGAGUUCAGGAGAGGAAAGCGGAAUUUCUGGUGUAGCGGUGACAUGCGUAGAUAUCAGAAGGAACACCAAUGGCGAAGGCAGCUUUCUGGCCUAUUACUGACGCUGAGGGACGAAAGCGUGGGGAGCGAACAGGAUUAGAUACCCUGGUAGUCCACGCCGUAAACGAUGAGUACUUGGGGUCGGGGGAAUCGACCCCCUCGGUACCGGAGCUAACGCAUUAAGUACUCCGCCUGGGAACUACGACCGCAGGGUUAAAACUCAAAUGAAUUGACGGGGACCCGCACAAGUAGUGGAGCAUGUGGUUUAAUUCGAAGAUACGCGCAGAACCUUACCAACACUUGACAUUUUCGUUUCGACUCUAAGAGAUUAGAGUUUUCGGUUCGGCCGGACGAAACACAGGUCCUGCAUGGCUGUCGUCAGCUCGUGCCGUGAGAUGUUGGGUUAAGUCCCGCAACGAGCGCAACCCUUACUUUUAGUUGCCAUCAUUUAGUUGGGCCCUCUGAAAGAACUGCCAGUGAUAAGCUGGAGGAAGGUGGGGAUGACGUCAAGUCCUCAUGGCCCUUAUGUGUUGGGCUACACACGUGCUACAAUGGGAAGGACAAAGAGCCGCGAAGCCGCGAGGUGUAGCUAAUCUCACAAAUCUUUUCGUAGUCCGGAUUGGAGUCUGCAACUCGACUCCAUGAAGUCGGAAUCGCUAGUAAUCGUAGAUCAGAAUGCUACGGUGAAUACGUUCCCGGGUCUUGUACACACCGCCCGUCAUACCAUGGGAGUGGGUUGCACCAGAAGUGGCUAGUCUAACUUUGUGAGGACGGUCACCACGGUGUGAUUCAUGACUGGGGUAAAGUCGUAACAAGGUAGCC
rnacentral:rRNA from 1 species